ACACCGGCAGCUCAAGUGGUAGCCGCUUUGAUUGGGCCUAAAGCGUCCGUAGCCGGUCUGAUAAGUCUCUGGUGAAAUCCCACAGCUUAACUGUGGGCAUUGCUGGAGAUACUAUCAUGACUCGAGGUCGGGAGAGGCUGGAGGUACUCCCAGGGUAGGGGGGAAAUCCUGUAAUCCUGGGAGGACCACCUGUGGCGAAGGCGUCCAGCUGGAACGAACCUGACGGUGAGGGACGAAAGCCAGGGGCGCGAACCGGAUUAGAUACCCGGGUAGUCCUGGCCGUAAACGAUGUGGACUUGGUGUUGGGAUGGCCUCGAGCUGCCCCAGUGCCGAAGGGAAGCUGUUAAGUCCACCGCCUGGGAAGUACGGUCGCAAGACUGAAACUUAAAUGAAUUGGCGGGG
rnacentral:rRNA from 1 species